rnacentral:rRNA from 1 species
UACGAAGGGGGCUAGCGUUGUUCGGAGUUACUGGCGUAAAGGGCGCGUAGGCGGCGCACCAAGUCAGGCGUGAAAGCCCUGGGCUCAACCCGGGAAUUGCGCUUGAGACUGGUGUGCUUGAGUACGGGAGAGGAUAGUGGAAUUCCCAGUGUAGAGGUGAAAUUCGUAGAUAUUGGGAAGAACACCGGUGGCGAAGGCGGCUAUCUGGACCGUAACUGACGCUGAGGCGCGGAAAGCGUGGGGAGCAACAGGG